UGACCGCCCUUGUCAGGUCUCCUCCUUUGUUCUUCCCCUCUCCCAAAACGAGCGCCGCCAGAGUUCCAAAAUCCCCCCUUCUCAAGCUGAUCUCUCCGCACCCUCUUCCCCCUCCCCAGAUCAGAGCCUCGGCCCGCCCCCGCACGCUCUUCGCCCCCUUCUCCGCCUAUAGGGCUCGAUCCACGGCACAAUCGCCAUCCCACGUCGAUCUCGGUGACCCCGCUGCGCCGCCCGUGGAGAUUGACCAUACUGCCAAGCCCGCGGUGACAGCACCGUACUCCGCCUAUUCGAUGCCGACCGGUAGCACGCAAGGAAAUGGCGGUGCCGGACGCGCGCGUCGCUGAUGGUCAGGCUGCCGAGGCAAAGGUUGGAGUCGCUCUUGCAGGAACUCUGGCGGACACUUCGGGCUGGGCGACUUCGAUCUCGGCGUCUCACUUCCUGAUGUAGCCACCGACUCCGAGGCGCAUACAGGGACAACAAGGGCGGUGACAACAACGGCGAUGUGGUUCAAUGGUGUGUGACUUAGACUACGCGACAAAUCAGCCUCAUGCUGUAAGCUCAUCAGAUGGUCCUCUCAAGACUUGGAUCGGCAACUUGAUGCAAGUGAUCAAGGGAUGUUUGGAAUGUAUACUGCUCAAAUGCUAACACUGUGUUGCUGUGUAGUUAAUUAGCAUUAUAGUUGAAGUGUUUUGGUCUAGCAACUCUAGUUGAUUUGUGGUCUAGUCUAUAGCAGAUUGUUUAUGCAGAUUGAAGUGUUCUAGCAAUUUAGCAACUUAGGCUAGCCUUUCUUUGAAUUUAUGGCCAGUAUGAAUAUGAUGUAUAAUGAUUUUUCGCUAAUUUAUAAAUUAUUUGAUUUAUGGCUGAUAUUAAUCCA